AACCUGCGGAAGGAUCAUUGUCGUGACCCUGACCAAAACAGACCGUGAACAUGUCAUCCAUGCGGCCGGGUCACGGGACUUGCGCCSGUCUCUCGGUACAGGCAGCUGACCUUCUUUCGGAGGUGAGUUUAGCCGCAAAAGAACCCACGGCGCUGUAUGGCGUCAAGGAACACUAAUAUUGCCUUGCUCGGGGCCAGCACCGGCUUGCCGGCCGCACCCUGUGCAGCGAUGCUAUGAUAAUCMACAUGACUCUCGGCAACGGAUAUCUCGGCUCUCGCAUCGAUGAAGAACGUAGCAAAAUGCGAUACCUGGUGUGAAUUGCAGAAUCCCGUGAACCAUCGAGUUUUUGAACGCAAGUUGCGCCCGAGSCCUUCUGGUCGAGGGCACGUCUGCCUGGGCGUCACGCCAAAAGACACUCCCCACCCACCUCGGUGCGGACGUGGUGUUUGGCCCCUCGUGCAAAAAGGCGCGGUGAGCCAAAGUUGGGGCUGCCGGCGGUGCCGAUCACAGCACAAGGUGGAUGACGCAUGUUGUUCUCGGUGCUUUGUUCUGUACCGCUACCGGUGAUAUGGCCCUCARGACCCAUGGACCGAAGCGCAAGUCGCUUGGACCGCGACCCCAGGUCAGUCGGGAUUACCCGCUGAAUUUAA
rnacentral:rRNA from 1 species